rnacentral:rRNA from 1 species
CAGGAUGAACGCUGGCGGCGUGCCUAACACAUGCAAGUCGAACGGGGUUUAUAAUAUGAAGUUUUCGGACGGAAUAUUGUAAACCUAGUGGCGGACGGGUGAGUAACGCGUGGGCAACCUGCCCCAUACAGGGGGAUAACAGCCGGAAACGGCUGCUAAAACCGCAUGAAACUGCGCUGCCGCAUGGCGGUGCAGCCAAAUAUUUAUAGGUAUGGGAUGGGCCCGCGUCUGAUUAGCUAGUUGGUAAGGUAACGGCCUACCAAGGCGACGAUCAGUAGCCGGCUUGAGAGAGUGACCGGCCACAUUGGGACUGAGACACGGCCCAAACUCCUACGGGAGGCAGCAGUGGGGAAUAUUGCACAAUGGGGGAAACCCUGAUGCAGCGACGCCGCGUGAGUGAAGAAGUAUUUCGGUAUGUAAAGCUCUAUCAGCAGGGAAGAUAAUGACGGUACCUGACUAAGAAGCCCCGGCUAACUACGUGCCAGCCGCGGC